rnacentral:lncRNA from 13 species
CCAAUCAGAACCCUUCACAGCUGGGCCAUGGGCCAGCCAAUGAGAGAAUUUCACAGCCUGGCCACAGGCCUGCCAGUCUGAGCAUUGUACCCUCUGCCACCCUACCACCACCCUCAGCUUGCUUGCUUUCUUUUUACUUUUCUCUUUCUUUCUUUCUUCUUUCUUUCUUUCUUUCUUUCUUUCUUUCUUUCUUUCUUUCUUUCUUUCUUUCUUUUCUUUCUUUCUUUCUUUUUUCUUUCUUCUUUCUUUCUUUCUUUUUUUGGGGAUAGAGUCUUGCUCUGUUGCUCAGGUUGGAAUGCAGUGGUGGUCACUGAAACCUUCACUCCCCGGGUUCAAAGAAGCAGAGAGGAGAGGUGAUGCAGAAUGAGAGAGAAAGGGAGACCUGAUAACAUUGUCCCUCUGGAUCCCAUGGCAUGUGGGGCUUGUUCUACCUCUGGACUUUUUCCAGAAGAUGAGAUCUCACUGUGCUGCCCAGGCUGGUCUCAAACUCCGGGCUCAAGUAAUCCUCCUGCCUUCGUCUCCCAAUGUGCUGAGAUUACAGCACCCACUGUUUAUUAGGGGUGGCUUCCUGGAGUCGUGGCAACAGUGAACAGAAGGUCUGGCCAGCCCUCCCCACCGCACCGCUGGACGGAGCCCUGGGAGGGAGGGAGGCAGGAGGAUGUCAUUUACCGAGAUUUACAGGCACUGCUUUCUCGACGGUUUGUGAGUCUUUCACUGCCUCGUGGAUCGCACGGCAGAUGAACUGUUUUUCUGCUCCCAUUAAGCCCUGGUCACCUCCAGGCGGCUGAAGACGAAGAAGCCGGGGCCCUUGGUCUUGUGGGGCGGCGUGGUGCUAUACCGGGAGGGCGGGAGCGCCACUCCAUUGUGCAACCACUGCACCGAGAUGUCCAUGGGCAGGAA